rnacentral:lncRNA from 1 species
AGAGAAGGAGGGAUAGAGAGAGGGAGAGGGAUAGAGAAAGAAGGAGGAGAUUUAAAGAAGAGUGAAAGAGUGAAAAAUAGUGAGAGAGCGAGAGACAGAGAGAGAGCGAGUCCUCUAGGUAUCCUCUAGCUGUCCUCUAGGUAUCCUCUAGGUAUCCUCUAGCUGUCCUCUAGGUAUCCUCUAGGUAUCCUCUAGGUAUCCUCUAGCUGUCCUCUAGGUAUCCUCUAGGUAUCCUCUAGGUAUCCUCUACUCUAGGUGUUCUCUAGGUAUCCUCUAGGUAUCCUCUAGGUGUCCUCUACUCUAGGUGUUCUCUAGGUAUCCUCUAGGUAUCCUCUAGGUGUCCUCUACUCUAGCUGUUCUCUAGCUAUCCUCUACUCUAGGUGUUCUCUAGGUAUCCUUUAGCUGUCCUCUAGGUAUCCUUUAGCUGUCCUCUAGGUAUCCUCUAGGUAUCCUCUAGGUGUCCUCUACUCUAGGUGUUCUCUAGGUAUCCUUUAGGUGUUCUCUAGGUAUCCUCUAGCUGUCCUCUAGGUAUCCUCUAGCUGUCCUCUAGGUAUCCUCUAGCUGUCCUCUAGGUAUCCUCUAGGUAUCCUCUAGGUAUCCUCUAGCUGUCCUCUAGGUGUCCUCUAGCUAUCCUCUAGGUACUUUCCCCAGCCCAGCUCUCUUUCAUCAGUGCAGAUCAAGGAAAGGAGUUGAAUCAGAAGAAGAGACAAAACGGGUGUGUCUCAAAUGUAACCCUUUUCACUUCAUAGUGCCCUACUUUUGACCCCCGAACUUUAACCUUGGUCAAAAGUUGUGCACUAUGAAUAAGGUCCCAUUUGGAACGCAGACAAUACUGUAUGUCUAGGCUAUUGACACGCACCUAGAGGGGGAUUGACAUAUAGAUAAUUGAAGAGGUUCAUCCACAGGAGGAUAAAACAGAGUGGUACAGGAGGAUAAAACAGAGCGGUACAGGAGGAUAAAACAGAGCGGUACAGGAGGAUAAAACAGAGCGGUACAGGGGGAUAAAACAGAGCGGUACAGGAGGAUAAAACAGAGCGGUACAGGAGGAUAAAACAGAGCGGUACAGGAGGAUAAAACAAGGGUACAGGAGGAUAAAACAGAGCGGUACAGGAGGAUAAAACAGCGGUAGAGGAGGAUAAAACAGAGCAGUACAGGAGGAUAAAACAGAGCGGUACAGGAGGAUAAAACAGAGCAGUACAGGAGGAUAAAACAAGGGUACAGGAGGAUAAAACAGAGCUGUACAGGAGGAAAGAGAAGAACGGGGGAUUUUACACAGAAAGAAAGAGGAUGAAGAGAGGACAGGAAUUCAGUUUCGAAGGUUUCUCAUAACACAACUGAAAAGGGAAGAAGUUAUUUACUCCACUUCAAAUAUGAACCAGUUUCCUUCCAAUGCAUGAUCACAUGGGGGUGUGGCCCAAUUGUCACACUAUUCACUAUAUAGUGCACUCAUUUUGAACAGGGCCCAUUUGGGCUCUGGUCAAAAGUAGUGUACUAUAUAGGGAAUGGGGUGCCAUUUCGGACUCACCCGUACUGUAUAGACACCUGAAACAUAUGUGCAGUUAAGUACGUCACAGGCACUUUUGACAG